rnacentral:rRNA from 1 species
AUGAACGCUGGCGGCGUGCCUAAUACAUGCAAGUCGAGCGAACAGACGAGGAGCUUGCUCCUCUGACGUUAGCGGCGGACGGGUGAGUAACACGUGGAUAACCUAUCUAUAAGACUGGGAUAACUUCGGGAAACCGGAGCUAAUACCGGAUAAUAUAUUGAACCGCAUGGUUCAAUAGUGAAAGACGGUUUUGCUGUCACUUAUAGAUGGAUCCGCGCCGCAUUAGCUAGUUGGUAAGGUAACGGCUUACCAAGGCAACGAUGCGUAGCCGACCUGAGAGGGUGAUCGGCCACACUGGAACUGAGACACGGUCCAGACUCCUACGGGAGGCAGCAGUAGGGAAUCUUCCGCAAUGGGCGAAAGCCUGACGGAGCAACGCCGCGUGAGUGAUGAAGGUCUUCGGAUCGUAAAACUCUGUUAUUAGGGAAGAACAAAUGUGUAAGUAACUAUGCACGUCUUGACGGUACCUAAUCAGAAAGCCACGGCUAACUACGUG